rnacentral:rRNA from 1 species
ACGGGUGAGUAAUGUAUCGGAACAUGUCCGGAAGUGGGGGAUAACGUAGCGAAAGUUACGCUAAUACCGCAUAUGCCCUGAGGGGGAAAGGUGGGGAUCGCAAGACCUAUCGCUUUCGGAGUGGCCGAUAUCAGAUUAGCUUGUUGGUGAGGUAAAGGCUCACCAAGGCGACGAUCUGUAGCUGGUCUGAGAGGACGACCAGCCACACUGGGACUGAGACACGGCCCAGACUCCUACGGGAGGCAGCAGUGGGGAAUUUUGGACAAUGGGGGCAACCCUGAUCCAGCCAUGCCGCGUGAGUGAAGAAGGCCUUCGGGUUGUAAAGCUCUUUCAGAUGGAAAGAAAUCGUGCAGGCCAAUACCCUGCAUGGAUGACGGUACCGUCAGAAGAAGCACCGGCUAACUACGUGCCAGCAGCCGCGGUAAUACGUAGGGUGCGAGCGUUAAUCGGAAUUACUGGGCGUAAAGCGUGCGCAGGCGGUUUUGUAAGACAGAUGUGAAAUCCCCGGGCUUAACCUGGGAACUGCAUUUGUGACUGCAGGGCUAGAGUGUGGCAGAGGGGGGUAGAAUUCCACGUGUAGCAGUG